GAGAGCCAUUAUCCACAAUUGGUGAAAAUGUGGAAAAGUGGUGAAACUUCCCAGGAGUGGCCGGCCAACCGAAAUCACCCCAAAAUCACAGCGAUGACCAAUCUAAGAGGUCACAAAAGACCCCACAACAACAUCCAGUUAAGGGUUUCAUCGUCGAAAUAGGUGUGUCCCAGUGACGUGCAUUGACUUUAGGACUCCAGCUAACCACAGUGAGAGUCAUUAUCCACAUUUGGUGAAAACGUGGAACGUGGAAGUGGUGAACCCACUUCCCAGGAGUGGCCGACCAACCAAAAUCACCCCAAAAUCACAGCGAUGACCCAUCUGAGAGGUCACCAAAGACCCCACAACAACAUCCAGCUAAGUUUUGGGACUCCAGCUAACCACAGUGAGAGCCAUUAUCCACAUUUGGAGAAAACGUGGAAAAGUGCUGAACCUUCCCAGGAGAGGCCGGCCAACCAAAAUCACCCCAAGAGCGCAGCCUCUCUGAGCUCUCCCAUCUGAGAGGUCACAAAAGACCCCACAACAACAUCCAGGUAAGGACUCCAGCUAACCACAGUGAGAGCCAUUAUCCACAAUUGGUGAAAAUGUGGAAAAGUGGUGAAACUUCCCAGGAGUGGCCGGCCAACCAAAAUCACCCCAAAAUCACAGCGAUGACCCAUCUAAGAGGUCACAAAAGACCCCACAACAACAUCCAGUUAAGGGUUUUGUCGUCGAAAUACGUGUGUCCCAGUGACGUGCAUUGACUUUAGGACUCCAGCUAACCACAGUGAGAGCCAUUAUCCACAUUUGGAGAAAACGUGGAACGUGGAAGUGGUGAACCCACUUCCCAGGAGUGGCUGACCAACCAAAAUCACCCCAAAAUCACAGCGAUGACCCAUCUGAGAGGUCACAAAAGACCCCACAACA